rnacentral:sRNA from 1 species
UAUUUUAAUAGAGAGUGGGUCUGACUCCUAAUGGGAGGCCCAGGUCUGCGGCUGGCCUGGACACAAGCUGGUGUGUGUGUGUGUGUGUGUGUGUGUGGCCAGUGGCAGCACCAGUAAGUGCCAAGGAUACCAGAACCACUGGGGCAGCUGGAAUAACAAGCCCAAGUAUGGGGGUCCCCAGUGCUGGGCACAUCCCAGGUAUCUCCCUCCCCACCCAUUGCCACAGGGCACCUCUGGGGACUGGGUACCUCACGCCCCUUCUGUCCUGACUGCCCUCCAUGCCCUGCCCCACAAACGCUCUGAUAACAGUCUGUCCCUGUCUCUCUCCCGCUGCUCCUAUGGAAGCGAAGUUUUCCGCUCCUGCAGAAAGCAAAGUUACGACUCAGAGACGGCUGAGGAUGACAUCAGCGAUGUGCAGGGGACCCAGCGCCUGGAGCUUCGGGAUGACGGGGCCUUCAGCACCCCCACGGGGGGCUCUGACACCCUGGUGGGCACCUCCCUGGACACACCCCCGACCUCCGUGACAGGCACCUCGGAGGAGCAAGUGAGCUGGUGGGGCAGCGGGCAGACGGUCCUGGAGCAGGAAGCGGGCAGUGGGGGUGGCACCCGCCGCCUCCCGGGCAGCCCAAGGCAAGCACAGGCAACCGGGGCCGGGCCACGGCACCUGGGGGUGGAGCCGCUGGUGCGGGCAUCUCGAGCUAAUCUGGUGGGCGCAAGCUGGGGGUCAGAGGAUAGCCUUUCCGUGGCCAGUGACCUGUACGGCAGCGCAUUCAGCCUGUACAGAGGACGGGCGCUCUCUAUCCACGUCAGCGUCCCUCAGAGCGGGUUGCGCAGGGAGGAGCCCGACCUUCAGCCUCAGCUAGCCAGCGAAGCCCCACGCCGCCCUGCCCAGCCGCCUCCCUCCAAAUCCGCGCUGCUCCCCCCACCGUCCCCUCGGGUCGGGAAGCGGUCCCCGCCGGGACCCCCGGCCCAGCCCGCGGCCACCCCCACGUCGCCCCACCGUCGCACUCAGGAGCCUGUGCUGCCCGAGGACACCACCACCGAAGAGAAGCGAGGCAAAAAGUCCAAGUCGUCCGGGCCCUCCCUGGCGGGCACCGCGGAAUCCCGACCCCAGACGCCACUGAGCGAGGCCUCAGGCCGCCUGUCGGCUUUGGGCCGCUCGCCUAGGCUGGUGCGCGCCGGCUCCCGCAUCCUGGACAAGCUGCAGUUCUUCGAGGAGCGACGGCGCAGCCUGGAGCGCAGCGACUCGCCGCCGGCGCCCCUGCGGCCCUGGGUGCCCCUGCGCAAGGCCCGCUCUCUGGAGCAGCCCAAGUCGGAGCGCGGCGCACCGUGGGGCACCCCCGGCGCCUCGCAGGAAGAACUGCGAGCGCCAGGCAGCGUGGCCGAGCGGCGCCGCCUGUUCCAGCAGAAAGCGGCCUCGCUGGACGAGCGCACGCGUCAGCGCAGCCCGGCCUCCGACCUCGAGCUGCGCUUCGCCCAGGAGCUGGGCCGCAUCCGCCACUCCACGUCGCGGGAGGAGCUGGUGCGCUCGCACGAGUCCCUGCGCGCCACGCUGCAGCGCGCCCCAUCCCCUCGAGAGCCCGGCGAGCCCCCGCUCUUCUCUCGGCCCUCCACCCCCAAGACAUCGCGGGCCCAGAGCCCCGCCGCUGCCCAGCCGCCCCCUCCGAGCAGCGCGGGGAAGCCGGGGGACGAGCCUGGGAGGCCUAGGAGCCGGGGGCCGGCGGGCAGGACAGAGCCGGGGGAAGGCCCGCAGCAGGAGGUUAGGCGUCGGGACCAAUUCCCGCUGACCCGGAGCAGAGCCAUCCAGGAGUGCAGGAGCCCUGUGCCGCCCCCCGCCGCCGAUCCCCCAGAGGCCAGGACGAAAGCACCCCCUGGUCGGAAGCGGGAGCCCCCGGCGCAGGCCGUGCGCUUCCUGCCCUGGGCCACGCCGGGCCUGGAGGGCGCUGCUGUACCCCAGACCUUGGAGAAGAACAGGGCGGGGCCCGAGGCAGAGAAGAGGCUGCGCAGAGGGCCGGAGGAGGACGGUCCCUGGGGGCCCUGGGACCGCCGAGGGGCCCGCAGCCAGGGCAAAGGUCGUCGGGCCCGGCCCACCUCCCCUGAGCUCGAGUCUUCGGAUGACUCCUACGUGUCUGCUGGAGAAGAGCCCCUAGAGGCCCCCGUGUUUGAGAUUCCCCUGCAGAAUGUGGUGGUGGCACCAGGGGCAGACGUGCUGCUCAAGUGUAUCGUCACUGCCAACCCCCCGCCCCAAGUGUCCUGGCACAAGGAUGGGUCAGCGCUGCGCAGUGAGGGCCGCCUCCUCAUCCGGGCCGAGGGUGAGCGGCACACCCUGCUGCUCAGGGAGGCCAGGGCAGCGGAUGCCGGGAGCUAUAUGGCCACCGCCACCAACGAGCUGGGCCAGGCCACCUGUGCCGCCUCACUGACCGUGAGACCCGGUGGGUCUACAUCCCCUUUUAGCAGCCCCAUCACCUCCGACGAGGAGUACCUGAGCCCCCCAGAGGAGUUCCCAGAGCCUGGGGAGACCUGGCCCCGAACCCCCACCAUGAAGCCCAGUCCCAGCCAGAACCGCCGUUCUUCUGACACUGGCUCCAAGGCACCCCCCACCUUCAAGGUCUCACUUAUGGACCAGUCAGUAAGAGAAGGCCAAGAUGUCAUCAUGAGCAUCCGCGUGCAGGGGGAGCCCAAGCCUGUGGUCUCCUGGCUGAGAAACCGCCAGCCUGUGCGCCCGGACCAGCGGCGCUUUGCGGAGGAGGCUGAGGGUGGGCUGUGCCGGCUGCGGAUCCUGGCUGCGGAGCGUGGCGAUGCUGGUUUCUACACUUGCAAAGCAGUCAAUGAGUAUGGCGCUCGGCAGUGCGAGGCCCGCUUGGAGGUCCGAGGUGAGUACCUGAUUUCUCCAUGAACACCCACCUGGCCCUGGCCCCUUCCUUCCCCCACUGUCUGCUCUCACACAGCCUCAGUUAGAGGAUACCACCACUGAAAGGGCCUUAACGGGCCCCAGUCCAGCUGCUUAUAUUAUUGUUGAGUGAACCAAAGCCCGGAGACAGGAAGUGACCUGCCCAAAGCUGCACAGCACAUUGUUCCGUGCUCAGCUUACUACACAACCCCACCUUCCCUGUUGCUCCAUCACGGAGCCCUGGCGGCAGCCAGAGACCCUGCACCUGCCACUGGCCAAGCUCUCUCUACACUCUUCUGAGCCUUUGUCACCCUGCUCUGCCCAGGACCCUCCCUCAUCCCCCUCCCCCUCUCCUCUCGCCCCUUUGCCCACCCUCCCAUCCCAUUGCUGUGCAGAAGCUACUGUGAGGUAGCGGUGGGGAGAGUCUGGUGGCUGGACCCGUUCGGAGGGGCCCUUGGGGUGGCUUAGGCUUGGAGCAUCACAGGGACCCUAGGGUGCCAGGGUGAGCACAGCUGUGACGUGUGAAGAGGCCUGGGCCCCCAGAGCCUGGGGCAUACGUGCAGGGGCCCUCUCAGGCAGCAGGAAUGCCAGGCCCUGGCUAGGGGGCCCUCGAGGGCCGUGGGUUUUCCUCACCGAAGUCCACAACCGUUUAUCUUGCCUUCCACCUCACCCUUCGCCUCAAUGGCUCCUCGCUUCCUCUCCUCGCUUCUCACUCAGCCCCCAGCCCCUGACCUUCCCCAAGGCUCAGAGCUCAGACCCUGACAGUCAUGGUCCCUCUGCUGGCCCUCCGCCUCAGUUCCCCUCCUCUGUGCCCGCCGUUCCUGUAGUUGCCACUUCCUUGGUCUCCAGAUUCUUCAGCCCUCCUCCCUGGCCUGCUUUCUCUCCAGGGCCUGGCUCUGCCUCGCUUCUCUGUAUUAACCCAUGUCUCGGUGCUUCUUUCUCUUGGGGAUUCCUUCCGACACCCCCAGGCUUUGGGGUGCUCCUGAUCCCAUGAAUGCCUGGUUGCCCGGGCCUCUGCCUGCCCAGGAACCCCGAGGAACCAGUCUCUGGCUAGCUGCCGGCCCUCGCAGCCCAGAGCUGACCUUGGGGGAGCCGAGAGUGGCAGUGCUGCCCUGGCAGUGUGAGAGGCAGCCCUCUAUGCAGAAGGGCCCUAGCCAGGUCUGCGUGCCUGUGCGUGCAUGUGUGCGUGUGUGUGCGUGCAUGUGUGCGUGUGCAUGAGUGCGUGUGUGUGCAUGUGUGCGUAUGCAUGUGUGUGUGCAUGCGUGUGUGUGCGUGUGCGUGCGUGUGCGUGUGCAUGUGUGUGUGUGUGCGCGCGCGUGCGCGUAUGCUGCACUAACCUGCCGCUUGCUGACUGAGGUUUUUGUCUGUACACAGGCGAGUGAGCUCAGGGGGCCACCUGCGCUCCCCCCGCUACCCUCCGAGCCGCGCCCCUGUCUCAGGCACCUCUCGGACCUCGCUGUGUUUCACUGCCUCCUGCCCACAGACCCAGGCCUGCCGGCCCGGACCCGUCCCAGCCUCCCCUCCCACCCCAUGCAGCCCCCAGGGGGAUAGCCCAUGGGCCCCUGUGGACCCUCCCUCCCCAAGUGGACACAUGGCUGUGCAGGCCAGGAGGCCCACAGAUGGACUGAGUGCUGGGAAGGGGUGGCUGCGAGGGGUAUCAACCCCCCGAGUCUCUCCCUGAAGGGGAGCACCGGGCGAGUGCAUGUGCUACUGCUGCUACAGGCCUGUCUAUCUGUUUGUCUGUCUGUGUGUCUGUGAUAGUCAGGGAAGGAUGCCUCGGAGCUGAGGUGGGGUGAGACAGAGUGGGAGAGAUUACGGCAUGGCAUGGAGGGGCCCAAGGAGCAGGGGCUGUUGACAAGGGCCUUACCAGGAAGGGUUAGGACACUGACCAUUCUAGAAAUGGGUUUCGAAUGGCACAACACUUUCUAUUCCACAAAAGACCAAAAGCCAGAGGCCCCAGGCUCUGUGCUGAUGAGCAGCCUGGCUGAGCCCUGGCCCUGGCAGGUUUAGGGCCCGUUUGGGGCCCCCUCCUUCUCUGUCAGGGCUGGGGUGCUCUGUCUGGGAAUGAGGGAGUUAACCAGGUUUGGUGCAGGAACAGGGGCAGGGGGCCACUGUAGUGAGCGUGGAGAGACUUGGAAACACCUAUUUCUUAACUCAAAUAAAGUCCAGUUUGUACCC